UAUAUUUAUUUGUGGUUGUCUGACCUACCGAGGCACAUGGUUUGGUUGCGGGUGUAUUUUGGAGUAUCUUAAGUUGAACGAGUUGAUCGGAGUUCAAAUUUUCUAUAGAUGAUUCCAGAAUGAAGUUUUGAUGGUUAUGAUAUCUUCGUAUUGUGAUUUUGGACUUAGGCAUAUGUUCGAAUAUUAAUUUAGAGUUUUGUAGGUUGUUUAUACUUGAUUUGGCGAAAUUUGAAAGCUUGGAAGUUUUAUGACCCAACUUAGGAUCGUGGCCGACGAUUAGUAGCAAGUUCUCCCAAGUAAGCCUCAUCAAUAAUUUUACAGAAAAUCUGACAAACUUUCCCCGAUUUUUGGACCAUCCAAUAACUUUUCUGUCUCAAAUCAGCAACCAAAUGACCUAAUAACAAUUCAACUGGCAAUUGACAACUUACCAAUUAGCCAAAAUAAGUCUCCACCAUUACGAAUAAACACACUAACAACCAGAAAUGUUAAUCUGCUGCCAAUUUUCAUAAUAAAGGACGAUACUCAACACAAGACUAUAAUAACAAAAGAAUACUCAUGACACUAAAAUAAUGACUAUGGGGCGACUCUAAUAAUUCAAUGAAAAGACCAUAACAAUAAGUAAAAUCUCUGUCCACGCGAACAAGUGCGAGGCUCACCGAGAAAUAUAGACUUGUGCGCUCUAACUAACGAAAUCCUCGCAUGCGUUAACUGCUGCCUAUGUAAAAAAAAGUUAGCUGGAAUGAGUCGCUAGAUCACUGAGUAAUAACACUUAACCAUAACUGUUUUUAAUUAUGGAUAAGUCAGAAAACAUACUAGUAUCUCAAAUAGAAAAUAACAUAAAAAUGCUCUUUCAGAAAUAAUAAAAAUUUUCAGCCUCAUCAUGCUUUUCUUGUAGUAUAAUACAAUUAAUAAUCCAGGAAUAAGCUUGGUAACCACCGUAUAAUGUUAAUAUUCAAAUUUUGAGAGGUUUCAAUGAACGGAGCAUGUAAUCGGUGUAAAUGUGGACUUCUUCGCUAGAAGUCAUAUAUAACGGUAGUCCCCACUCGAGGAAAAUCUGUAACGGUAUGCUAGUUCUACCUUCCCACUAACGAGUGCUAUAACAGUAAUCGAUAAUUACAAGAUGCACCAGGUCUAACAAACCCACCGUUAGCUACGGGAUCAUUCAAUGUCUACUCAUAUUUAUACUUGUCUCUGUAAUCCGUAUAUACUCAUAGAAAUUAUUUUAAAACAAUAUGGGACAUUUCGGUUUUGAUCAAAUAAUUUCAAUUAUGUAACAGUAAUUCUAAGUAACGGUAAAAUAGAUCUAGUGACAGUAAAAAUAUUUAAAACCACGUAUUCAUCUCAAAUAACUAUUUCAGUAUCAUAUCGAGUAAAAGACUUGUCCUACAUAUAACUCAAAAUAAUCAGUAACAUAUUUGUAUUAAAAAUCAUGUGUAAAUCAUGCAAGUUAUAAAAAUAAAAAUUGCGGUAAGGUUACUACUCACAGUACUCGUGCCGAAAUACCAAAUGCUUCACCUCGAGCAAUUCGUACGAAUUCCUCCAAUAUACCAAUAAUUACAUAAUAUCAAUCUCAUGUCAAUUUCCUUAUUUAGUCUAAUUCAUAGCUAUUUGAAAAAACCCAAUCAUCGGGAUUCAUGUUUGAAUCUUAAUUUGUGAAUUUAUAUUUUACCCCAUAUGAGUAAUUACUAAUUUAUCAACUCCAACCUAUUCAUAAAUUUUAUUACUCCAUAUUCAUAAAGUUCUAGUGAUUAUUUUUAGGAAGAAAAUUCUCAAUUGUGUAAAUAAACUAGUGUAAUUUCUAUUACUCUAUAGAAUCUUUCAAUCAAGAGAAUCUUACAUUAAAAUCUAUAAGAAGAAGAAUUUCAAAUAAUACCCGUAAAAGACAAUUAGUGCUUAAGGUUCUUCAACGGUUAUAGCUAUGGCUCCAAAGCAGUGCAUCCACUUCAUCCUCCUUCUUUUCUCUUUUCCUUUCUUUCUUUCUCUGCUUUUGGUUUCUUUCGUUUUCUGUUUCUUGUAUCUUUCAGAAGACAAAGAAUCUUUGAUUUUUGAAAAACCCAUAACCUUGGCAAGUAAAAUAAAUCUAAUAGGAUUCGGCCCUUCUUG
rnacentral:lncRNA from 1 species